CCCCUCUGCCUCUGGCUCAGGCAUCACUGCCCUUGCCAAUGUCUCUUCUUUACCUCCAAGUCACCCCUGGGUCUCAUGGUCCCACCUGCCUUCACUGUGAGGCCACAAAGAGGCAAUUAGAUGAACCCCAACUGCUGUUGAUGGUGGUCCUAAAGACUGACUGGUGAGAAGAGACACUGGCUAGAAGAGACAGGGCAAAGAGCUGUCAAGGAUGUGUGUGGGCAACAGGGGCCGCUUCUGAAUGACUCCUGACUCCAACAGUGGCUUGAGACAGCACUCUGGGAGUCUGGCUCUUACAGCCAGUCAGCAAUGUGGAUGUGCCUGCUCCCGAUGAGUUCUAGAAUCCUCGCCAAAGAUGGAGCCGCCCUGCCUGGUUUCCUCCCAGGCUGUCCUGGAGACCACCCACAUGGACUAUCUGCUUGGCUUAAACUAAACCCACUGUCUCCAAGCUGUACAGGUCUUCCUCUCUGGACUGCUAAGCCCCAACAGCUGACCAUGGCACGCAUCAGGGCCACAGGGAGAGAGAUAUGAGAAUGGACUGGAGCAGAAGAUACUGACACAGCUCCUGCUUGGAAUGGCUCCCGAGAACGCUGGCCUCUGAAAGGACUGAGGGCCUAACGCUACUUUGACCUGCUCUGACCUCUUUGCCUUCCUGGAUCAUCUGUCCAAUCGGUGACCUACGGGUCCUCCUCAUCAGCAUCAAGAGUUCCACUCCUAGCUAGUAGCUCAAGCUGAGCCCAUGCCUCCCCUCUCCUGCUCUCCAGUCUACAUCCCACCUACCAUCCUACUCAGGCCCUAUCCAGAGCCCUGGGUCUCCUGCAUUCCAUCCUUCACACAUGCACACAUCUCUCUGGAAUAUGCAUCCUUUUGCAUAUUCUGAGUCCCUGGUGCCUUGUGGUCAGGACCACAGGACCAGAUUCCAAUCCUAGUUGAAUAGCCUCUGACAGCUGAAGCCUUACUAAAGAGGAGAAAUAAAGGCUGAUUAUUGGAUUGCUUUGAGAAUGAGAUGUGCAUGACUUGCCCCAGAUGUUCUCCCUGGACCUUCCAUCCUGAGUCACAGAAGGCAUUGUUUCCCAGAGACCGGCCGAAACUACGAGCUCUUGGCCUCUUCUGGUUCAUCUAAAGGAAGGGAAAUGACGUCCUGAGGUAAACCGCAAGGCCGGGUGCCCCGAUGCAGCGAGUGGGGCCAAGAGAGGACAGAGGGUUUAUCCAAGGCCACAGGCGAAGCCAGAGCCCAGGACUCUUCCCACCACAUCAGCUGCUUCAUGUUUGUGCCUGAACAAAACACUCUCCGGGGAGAGCUGGAAGCAGCAGGCCUGGGAUAAUGUCUUCCUUACCUUCUACUGACACUAACGCCAUCAUCACCACCAUCAGCCCCGCCCCUUCAGCAUGAGCACAGUACCCCAGGUCCUGAGUUCGGAUCCCAGCAACCACAUGAUGGCUCACAACCACCCGU